rnacentral:snoRNA from 1 species
CUGCAUCUACUGACAGACUUGAGCAGUCUGCUGUUCUCUUGGUUGUUUGCACUAGAUGAGAAAGUAAAAUCCUUGCGCUUUCUGUCUGCUGGUGGGCAGCCCAGGUUGAAUAGUGGCUACAUCC